UACGUAGGGUGCAAGCGUUGUCCGGAAUUAUUGGGCGUAAAGAGCUUGUAGGCGGUUUGUCGCGUCUGCUGUGAAAUUUCGGGGCUCAACCCCGAACUUGCAGUGGGUACGGGCAGACUAGAGUGUGGUAGGGGAGACUGGAAUUCCUGGUGUAGCGGUGAAAUGCGUAGAUAUCUGGAGGAACACCGGUGGCGAAGGCGGCAUCCUGGACCAACACUGACGCUGAGGAGCGAAAGCCAGGGGAGCAAACGGG
rnacentral:rRNA from 1 species